GAACCGCCGACGCUGGCGGCCGGGGAUGGAAGGCACGGUCGAGGGGGCCUGAACUCCUUGAUUUGGCCUGUACCUGACCUUUCCAAUUCAGGCUGAUGUUUAAAUCGAUCAAACCUUGGAUCAUCCUUGCUCACCUUGGUCCCACUGCCUUGCCUUGUUCUGCCACAUCAAAUUUCCUCCAAGUCCAAAGCCACCUGGCUGAAAUCGCUGCGAUUCAUCAGUGUCAUCUUAACCGAGUACUACUAUAAUGAAGCAGAGAAUGGAUAAAAUCAUUGAGAUGCCCGACACUGAAUUAGGACACAGUGGACUCUCGGACUCAGAGCACCAGCCAUCACUUCUCAAUUUCUGGACUUCCAACCAAUCUCCAGACAUUGAUCUUUGGUAUCGACACAAAGAUGUGCUGAUGACGAUGGAUGAGGACUCCUAACACCAGGCUCUCCAAUUACAGGACCAUGAACACAAGGCCUUGAACUCCAUUGAUCAGAAGCAAGGACAGCCUAAUUCUCUACUAAUUCUCUAAUUCUAUUGCCACUAAAACACAUUGUCCUCUUUUAUCUUGGCACAGUUCAAGAUCGUAUACAUCCCUUAUGCCAUUAUCCUUGGUUUGGUGAUGUAGAAAUCAGGUGAGAGGAAUGAGCACUGAUUACAAUUCCUAUUUGUUGUCCUCCCAUGAACAGCGGUAGGACUUCCUUUCAUCACAUGAUGAGGGGUGUAGGCAAGAACAGAAAAAUGGGUCAGGGUGUAAGAAGGAUCCCACUCACCCUACUCACUGAUUAUUUGUCUAACUCCUGUUAGGGAGUAGGCUACGUAGCAUCCACACCCAAAUCACCAGACUCACAAUUACUUUACUUUAUCAGAACCUCCGUCCUUUAACCCAUGUCUCCACACAACCCACCAAUGCUACUCUAUCAUUUCCUGUCAGUCACCUUAUGUAUGGAUACUUAGGUGCCUAGCGUCACUUUAUGGACAUGCAACCAAUCUGUGUAUAUAUCUUCCUCACCACCAUUCAGGGCCCCAGACAGUCCUUCCAGGUGAGGCCACACUUCACCUGUGAGUCGGCUGGUGUGGUAUACUGCAUCUGGUGUUCCCAGUGUGGCCUUUUAUAUAUUGGUGAGACCCAACGCAGACUGGGAGACCAUGUUGCUGAACACCUACGCUUGGUCCACCAGAAAAAGCAGGAUCUCCCAGUGGCCACACAUUUUAAUUCCACGUCCCAUUCCCAUUCUGCUAUGUCUAUCCAUGGCCUCCUCUAUUGUCAAAAUGAAACCAAACUCAGGUUGGAGGAACUGCACCUUAUAUACCGGCUGGGUAGCCUCCAACCUGAUGGCAUGAACAUUGACUUCUCUAACUUCCAUUAAUGCCCCUCCUCCCCUUAUUACCCCAUCCCUGACAUAUUUAGUUGUUUGCCUGUUCUCCAUCUCCCUCUGGUGCUCCCCCCACCCUUUCUUUCCCCUGAGGCCUCGCGUCCCAUGAUCCUUUCCCUUCUCCAGCUCUGUAUCACUUUCGCCAAUCACCUUUCCAGCUCUUAGCUUCAUCCUCCUGUCUUCUCCUAUCAUUUCGCAUUUCCCCCUCCCCCCCCCCACUACUUUCGAAUCUCUUACUAUCUUUCCUUUCAGUUAGUCCUGAUGAAGGGUCUCGGCCCGGAACAUCGACAGCACUUCUCCCUAUCGAUGCUGCCUGGCCUGCUGUGUUCCACCAGCAUUUUGUGUGUGUUGUUGUUUUAUGUAUAUAUCUUAUGUAUUUUAUUGUGUUUAGUUAAUAUUGUGUUCUUUAUUGUAUUUUUUGUGCUGCAUUGGACCUGGGCUGAGAAAUGGUAGAUAGCGUUCAAUCCAGGAACGAGUGGAAGUGAUUCUCUUUGGAAGGCUGAACUUGAAGGUGGAAUAUGGGGUUAAUGGCAGGAUUUUUAACAGUGUGAUUCCUUAAGGUUGUUAAAGCCGGCAGGGGUAGUAGGGACAAUCUCCCUCUACCUAUUAAAUGCUCCCAGUGGUGUGCAACUCAAAUAGUCCCCAACCAUGGACAACCAAGUCCAGCGCCUGGCCUCCACAUGUGGCUUGGCUACUAAGCCCAGCGGAACCAUUUCUGCUGUUAGGAGAAAGGUGGGCUAUUGGCAUCUUAAAAACAGUCACUUUGGGUAGAUGGGGCUCAUGAGCCAUGGUUGGAAGCUCAUCUAGGAGGAGGAAAAAAACUGAUUUCAAACCUCCACUGCCUUGUGUCUAUACCCACUCAUGGGGAAGGCUUUGGGACUAAACCCUCAGGGACAAAUCCAGAGCUGGAGUCCCUAAGGCAGUCCUACAUUGAAAUCAAUGCUGAUUAUCAACUCCUGCAAUGCUGCUGUUGCCAAACUGUAUUGGUCUUCACCAUUCCUUUGGGUUUAUCAGCUUGCUUUCCAUAUCGUACUGCCUUGCAUUGCAUAUCUAAACAGCUAGGAUGCAACAUCUAUGGUCAACCCUGACCAACGGAGGCGUCAGCUAAACUCAAGAUGACAAGAGGCAUUGAGCUUUUCCAGCCAUUCACUUUUUUCCAGAGUAGAAAUGACUAAUAAGAGUGGGCAUAACUUUAUGGUGUUGGGAGGAAAUUAUAGGGAAGAUGUCAGGUAGGGUUUUUUCACAGUGACAAGUGCUGCAAGGGGUAUUGGUAAAGGCAGAUACAUAAAGGGUAUUUGAGAAAACACUUUCAUGGGCACACGAUGAAAUAAAAAUUGGGGGGGGCGGCUAUGUGGAAAGGAAGGGCUAGAUUGAUUUUCAAGUAGCUUGAAGGAUUGGCACAGCAUCCUUGGCUGAAGAGCCUGUACAAACAUUGGUAUUCUGCACUACCUCUGGCAGCAUAUUUCAGCUACCUACAACUUUGUGUGUUGGAGUGGGGGGUGGCUUCCCUCACAGUUAUCCUUUAAAUUUCCCUUGAUCACCUUAAACCUUAGUUCUGAAAUAUGUGAUGCUUUUACUUGGGGUAAAAGACACUUGGUUUUCUACCCUAUCUCUGCCCAUCAUAAUUUUAUAAGCUAUCAGGUUGCUCCGCAGUCUCUGGCAUUCUAGAGGAAACAAUUUGAGUUUGUCCAACCUUUCUUCAUAGUACUAGCAGCAUUUUGUGCUUGAACUUUCUGGUCAUUGUUUCACUUUUGCUUGAGACUUCAAAAUUAUUGAAGUGUUUUGUUGCUUCUUAGGUUAAUGAAAGGCUCCAUAUAAACUUUUUCUCUUCUUUUUCCUUCGUAUCAUUCACUCUCCCUUGUUCAUUCGUUCCCCCAUCCCUUCCCACUGAUCUCCCUCCCAGUACUUAUCCUUGUAAGCGGAACAAGUGCUACACCUACCCUUACACUUCGUUCCUCACCACCACUCAGGGCCCCAGCGAGUCCUUCCAGGUGAGGCGACACUUCACGUGUGAGACAUCUGGUGUGAUAUACUGUGUCUGUAAGACCCAAAGCAGACUGGGAGACCAUUUCACUGAACACCUACGCUCUGUCCGCCAGAGAAAGCAGGAUCUCCCAGUGGCCACACAUUUUAAUUCCACGUCCCAUUCCCAUUCUGAUAUGUCUAUCCAUGGCUUCCUCUACUGUGAAGAUAAAGCCACACUCGGGUUGGAGGAACAACACCUUAUAUUCUGUCUGGGUAGCCUCCAACCUGAUGGCAUGAACAUUGAUUUCUCUAACUUCCGUUAAUGCCCCCCUCCCCUUCUUACCACAUCCCUUAUUUAUUUCCCCCCCCCUCUUUUUUCCUUCUUUUCUCACUCUGCCCAUCACUCUUUGAAUGUUCUCCAUCUCCCUCUGGUGCUCCCCCUCCCCCUUUCUUUCCCCCUAGGCCUCCUGUCCCAUGAUCCUCUCCCUUCUCCAGUUGUGUAUCCCUUUUGCCAAUCAACUUUCCAGCUCUUAGCUUCAUCCCUCCCCCUCCUGUCUUCCAUCAUUUCGGAUCUCCUCCUCCCACUUUCAAAUCUCUUAUCCCUUCUUUCAGUUAGUCCUGACAAAGGGUCUCAGCCCAAGACGUCAACUGUACUUCUUCCUAUAGAUGCUGCCUGGCCUGCUGCAUUCCACCAGCAUUUUGUGUGUGCUGCAUAAAUGCUUGUUUACUUUUUUCCUGUGUGUUUCCUUUCGUUCAUAUGAAAAAUAUGAGUGAAUCUUUAAUUCCAGCAUCCCUUGACUUUCAAUAACUAUCCCACAAGAAAUGCAGAAACAACGUUAAUCAGCUGGGUUUUACUUAAAAGCACAAAGCAUCUAGUGUCUAAUCACAGUUAUAAAUUUUACAUGUAUCCUAUAAAUAUUUGGGACUAUCUAAUGGAAUGAAAGAUUAACAUAUCUAUUAUUGAGGAGUGUCAGUGAUAAUUCAACAAAAGCACCUUCAAAUAUCUUUAUUCUUUGAAGUUCCACAUACAAAAGGAAGACUCAGAAAUAACUUUUUAAUAUCUGACGAUGGUACCAGACAAUGUUGUGGUUGCAUAUGUAAUGCAAACAUAAAACAGACCUCACCUAUUUGGUCACUCAGGCCAGCUAACUUAUAUACAAUAACAACAUUGGAAUAAGCUAGCAGCUGUUGUGUAAUCCUUGGCAAUCAGGAAAGAUGAGGGGAGGUGUAGGGUGGGGUGCGAAACAUAUGUCGGAAAUUGUUGGAGGAGAAGGGAGAGGAGUGAAUUAUUGAGGCUUGGACUCCAGCAAGCUUUCCAAUUUUAAGCAGGGGCUAACUGCAUCUUUGAAAGCUCCAUGGGAGAAUCUGCUUCUCUUCGUGCGUUGUGAGUUUGAACUAUUAUCCUAUGGAGCUGACAAUUUCCAUAUUACUGUGUUCAUCUUAUUGCUGCAGACAUUAUGCAGCAGCAAACUGAAGUAAGGCUCCCAAAUCCACCACAGAAACAAGAUUUAAAUAUAUUUUUUAAAAUAUGCCUUUAAGCUGCAGCACUUAGCUAUUUGUUAUUGUAAAAGUGGUGUCAGAUGUAUGUGGAGCAAGUUGACAUUAAGAAAAGUUCAUUUUUAAAUUUUCCCUCUCCUCCCCUUGCCACGAAUGAUAGUUAUAGAAUCCAGUGUUUCUGUCCAUAUAGGUAACUUUGAGUGGAUGAAUUUCCAAUUUUAUGUCCCUGUCAGGGAGCUUUAGUUGUUCAAUGGGGGGCAUACUGAAAUUUCUGUUAUAUGGUAUAUAUUAUUUUGUGAACAUAAAACAUAAAAUUAUAUGUUGUGCACCUUAAGGUUUUGAAUAUAAGAUA